ACAGGUUAGUUUUACCCUACUGAUGAAGCGUUGUUGCCACAGUAAUCCUGCUCAGUACGAGAGGAGCCGCAGAUUCAGACAUUUGGUUCAUGUGCUUGGCUGAUAAGCCAAUGGUGCGAAGCUACCAUCUGAGGGAUUAUGACUGAACGCCUCUAAGUCAGAAUCCCGCCUGGAAAGCGACGAUGCAUUCGUGCCUCGGCCUCGAGAGGCGUAGCUAGACGGCCGCGUGGCCGUGGAAAGAGCCCGAUUCCGACCCGAGAGGCCGCGGCAAGAGGCGGCCUCGAAGUCGGUGGAUCCUCCUGCUCGAAAGGCGGGGUGCUAAACCAUUCGCAGACGACCUAGUUGAAGAUCGGGGUGUCGUGAUCACUAGAGCAGUACAUCUCACUGCGAUUUGUUGAGAGUAAGCCUCAAGAUCUGUCGGUUUGU
rnacentral:ncRNA from 1 species